UCACAACUUAUAAGUUUUAGAUUUUGUGGCGAAGCCAUAGGCGGACUAUUUAAAUUUAUAAAUAAAAUAAUGUAAAAUGUUUUAGUUUCAUAGUUUUUAGUCAUUAAUGAUUAAGGUUUGGAGUUUAUUUGUGAUACCCAAUUUUAAAAAUAAUAACUUCAUUGCCUUUCGAGACAUGUCUCACAAAGUAUUUGUAUAUGGAACACUCAAACGUAAUGAGCCUAAUCAUCACUGGCUCACAAACCCUGAUAAUGGAACAGGGACGUUCCUUACAGAAGGCAUUACAAAGAACAAAUACCCCCUUAUAAUAGCUACAAAGUACAACAUACCAUUCCUUUUAUAUAGCCCUGGUGAUGGACAUCAUAUUAAAGGAGAGAUCUAUGAAGUAGAUGACAUCAUGCUCAGUAAAUUAGAUAUUCUGGAGGACCAUCCCAAAUGGUAUAUCAGGGAAAUUGAUGAUAUACUGGUUAAGAAACCGGGUUCCAAUGACGAGGAAAUAGUAAAAUGCUGGGUGUAUUUCUUGAAAAAUUUCCGACCAGAGCUAUUGAAACGGCAACUUUUCGAAUGCUACACCUCCAGUGGUACACAUGGCUUAAAAUAUUUGGAAAGGUCAAAACGCGAUCCUAAUCAUAACCAUUAUUCUGAAGUUAAGAAAUAAGAAUUAAAAGCUUUUGGGUAUGGUACAAGAUGUCUAUGGUUUUGCUAGAAUAUUUUUGUGAAGAUAACGAAGCAUCGAUAGAAGAUCUAAAAGAACUGCAGAAAUAAUAAUUAU
rnacentral:misc_RNA from 1 species